UUUUGGACAAUGGGCGCAAGCCUGAUCCAGCAAUGCCGCGUGAGUGAUGAAGGCCUUAGGGUUGUAAAGCUCUUUCGGUGGUGACGAUGAUGACGGUAACCACAGAAGAAGCCCCGGCUAACUACGUGCCAGCAGCCGCGGUAAUACGUAGGUGGCAAGCGUUGUCCGGAUUUACUGGGCGUAAAGAGCGCGCAGGCGGUCGAUCAAGUCGCGUGUGAAAGCCCCCGGCUCAACUGGGGAGGGUCACGCGAUACUGAUCGACUCGAAGGCAGGAGAGGGUAGUGGAAUUCCCGGUGUAGUGGUGAAAUGCGUAGAUAUCGGGAGGAACACCAGUGGCGAAGGCGACUUACUGGACGAUUGUUGACGCUGAGGUGCGAAAGCGUGGGGAGCAAAC
rnacentral:rRNA from 1 species